UCCAGGCCGUGCCCCUGCAAUUGUUGCUGUUUUUUAAUGUUGACUCCGAAGUGAUGCAUAUUUUCAUUCCAUUUUCCGUUUUGAGACAAGGGAACCCAGGCUGGUAUCAGUACGCAGCUCAGGAUGCCGUCUCACUCGAGGUCCUCCUACUUCCACUUCUUGAGUCCAGGAAUACAGACUACCAGAUAGCUCCUGGCUGGUGCAAUGAGAGUGAGUGACUAUAAGAAGGAGUGGCCUGCGGGAGCAAAGUGGUUAACUAAAUACCUGCAGAUCGGGAGUUCAAAGCCAGCCUCGGCUAUACAGCAAGUCAGAGCCAGCCUCAGACUUACGGAAACUGUAAGAUCCUGUCUCAAACAAAAGAAAACAACAAAACAACAAAAACCAGAGAGAGUCUGGUGAACCGGCUUGGCGUAGGAGCCUGAUUGCAGAACGCACACUAGGAGGGAGUAUUGACCCCACCCCCAAUUGUCCUCUGACCUCUGCUUGUGGGCAGUGACAUUCACGCACCCACCAUCACACACAAGCCACACCCUCGCAAAAUAAUAAGUCAAUUAAACUAGAAAACAUUUUUAUUUUAUUUAUUA